rnacentral:rRNA from 1 species
CCUACGGGAGGCUGCAGUGGGGAAUAUUGGGCAAUGGGCGCAAGCCUGACCCAGCAACGCCGCGUGAAGGAAGAAGGCCCUCGGGUUGUAAACUUCUUUUGUCAGGGACGAAACAAAUGACGGUACCUGACGCAUACGCCACGGCUAACUACGUGCCAGCAGCCGCGGUAAUACGUAGGUGGCAAGCGUUAUCCGGAUUUACUGGGUGUAAAGGGCGUGUAGGCGGGAGAGCAAGUCAGAUGUGAAAUUCCAGGGCUCAACCCUGGAACUGCAUUUGAAACUGUUUUUCUUGAGUGAUGGAGAGGCAGGCGGAAUGCCGGGUGGAGCGGUGAAAUGCGUAGAUAUACGGAGGAACACCAGUGGCGAAGGCGGCCUGCUGGACAUUAACUGACGCUGAGGCGCGAAAGCGUGGGGAGCAAACAGGAUUAGAUACCCUAGUAGUC